AGCAGCCGCGGUAAUUCCAGCUCCAAUAGCGUAUAUUAAAGUUGUUGCAGUUAAAAAGCUCGUAGUUGAAUUUCGGGGUUAGUAGGUUGGUCAUGCCUCUGGUAUGUACUGGUCUCACUGAUUCCUCCUUCCUGAUGAGCCGUAAUGCCAUUAAUUUGGUGUUGCGGGGAAUUUGGACUGUUACUUUGAAAAAAUUAGAGUGUUUAAAGCAAGCUAACGCUUGAAUACAUUAGCAUGGAAUAAUGAAAUAGGACGUUCGAUCCUAUUUUGUUGGUUUCUAGGAUUGACGUAAUGAUUAAUAGGGAUAGUUGGGGGCAUUAGUAUUCAAUUGUCAGAGGUGAAAUUCUUGGAUUUAUUGAAGACUAACUACUGCGAAAGCAUUUGCCAAGGAUGUUUUCAUUAAUCAAGAACGAAAGUUAGGGGAUCGAAGACGAUCAGAUACCGUCGUAGCCUUAACCAUAAACUAUGCCGACUAGGGAUCGGAUGAUGUUAAUUUUUUCAAUGACUCAUUCGGCGCCUU
rnacentral:misc_RNA from 1 species